rnacentral:rRNA from 1 species
CCUACGGGGCGCAGCAGUCGAGAAUCAUUCACAAUGGGGGAAACCCUGAUGGUGCGACGCCGCGUGGGGGAAUGAAGGUCUUCGGAUUGUAAACCCCUGUCAUGUGGGAGCAAAUUAAAAAGAUAGUACCACAAGAGGAAGAGACGGCUAACUCUGUGCCAGCAGCCGCGGUAAUACAGAGGUCUCAAGCGUUGUUCGGAACCACUGGGCGUAAAGCGGGCGUAGGCUGUUUCGUAAGUCGUGUGUGAAAGGCGCGGGCUCAACCCGCGGACGGCACAUGAUACUGCGAGACUAGAGUAAGGGAGGGGGAACCGGAAUUCUCGGUGUAGCAGUGAAAUGCGUAGAUAUCGAGAGGAACACUCGUGGCGAAGGCGGGUUCCUGGACAUUAACUGACGCUGAGGCACGAAGGCCAGGGGAGCGAAAGGGAUUAGAUACCCCGGUAGUC